UACGUAGGGCGCAAGCGUUAUCCGGAAUUAUUGGGCGUAAAGAGCUCGUAGGCGGUUUGUCGCGUCUGCCGUGAAAGUCCGGGGCUCAACUCCGGAUCUGCGGUGGGUACGGGCAGACUAGAGUGAUGUAGGGGAGACUGGAAUUCCUGGUGUAGCGGUGAAAUGCGCAGAGAUCAGGAGGACACCCGUAGCGAAGGCGGCACUCUGGGCCGAUACUGACACUGAGGGAGCG
rnacentral:rRNA from 1 species